rnacentral:lncRNA from 1 species
GAAUUGGCUUACAUGAUUAUGGAGGCUGACAAGUCUCAAGAUCUGCAGACCUAGGCGGGGCCAAUAGGUUAGUUCCAGUCCAAAGGCUGGCAGGCUCAAGACCCAGGAAGAUCUUAUGUUUCAUUUUGAGUUCAAAGGCUGGAAAAAAUCGAUGUCCCAGCUUGAAGGCCAUCAGGCAGGAGGAGUUCCUUCUUACUGAUAGGAAGGAAUAUGGACCGCCAGCAACACUGUGUCAUUGCAGUAUCCCUAUCUAAAAGUUUACAGAGACAAAGGGAUCUGAAAUCAACCAGAAUAAAAUGACCACGGAGUAGACGUGUUACAAAGAAAAAGAGAGGAAAAUCGGCAACAAUAGUGACAACAAGAACAAAAUAACAAGAAAACUCCCACAAAGACAGAAGGAAGACAAUGCAGCUAGUGAGCAAAUUAGGAAUUUGAAAGCAUCUUCUGAGAGCUUGAAUGAUGAAUGUACUGAGGUUCCUAAGGGUGAGGUGAGAAGACCCAUCCAGCAUCACAAGACCCAUUCAAGGUGAUGUGGCUAGUUUGUGCUGAAGGCAGAAGUUUCCAGAAUUCCUGACCCUCAUGCUAUGGAACAGUCCUUGUGAGAAUAUCAGAGAUGAAUGAACAAGCAGGUGGAAGUUCGGAGGAAGACACGAUUAUAGACAAAAUGAAGGCACUACAUUUUCUCUGAUAAAAAAGUCUCUCAACAUUUUUAUAUCCUGUUGGUUUUCUAGGAAACGUAGACAUGCUCUGUAGGAAAUAAUCUCAAAAUGGACGUGAUGGAUUAAAGAUGGGGAAACAUGCCCUGGAAUGCCUAAUGGCAACAUUAGUCUACGUCUACAGAUUAAUGUGGCUGCUGAAUAUAGUUUUUUUUUUUUUUUUAAAAGCACUUGGAUUCA